rnacentral:rRNA from 1 species
AUUGAACGCUGGCGGCAUGCCUUACACAUGCAAGUCGAACGGUAACAGGUCUUCGGAUGCUGACGAGUGGCGAACGGGUGAGUAAUACAUCGAAACGUGCCCGAUCGUGGGGGAUAACGAGGCGAAAGCUUUGCUAAUACCGCAUACGAUCUACGGAUGAAAGCGGGGGAUCUUCGGACCUCGCGCGGACGGAGCGGCCGAUGGCAGAUUAGGUAGUUGGUGGGAUAAAAGCUUACCAAGCCGACGAUCUGUAGCUGGUCUGAGAGGAUGAUCAGCCACACUGGGACUGAGACACGGCCCAGACUCCUACGGGAGGCAGCAGUGGGGAAUUUUGGACAAUGGGCGAAAGCCUGAUCCAGCCAUGCCGCGUGCAGGAUGAAGGCCUUCGGGUUGUAAACUGCUUUUGUACGGAACGAAAAGCCUCUUUCUAAUAAAGAGGGGUCAUGACGGUACCAUAAGAAUAAGCACCGGCUAACUACGUG